rfam:Yarrowia lipolytica complete mitochondrial genome, strain W29
GUUAAAUUAGUUUAAGGGUAAAACAAUUGUUUUGUAAUCAGUAGCUUUUGGUUCAAAUCCAAAAUUUAACA